AUAACAGAACAGUUCGCUACGUAAUAUUAUUAAAACUGACGGUAUGCAAAGUUUUCACGCGCGCGGACGCGCGAAUUCACUACGCUGUUUGUAAGACCGAGACACAGCACACGCGGGGGCGUAGCGUCCUCGUAAGGUCGUCCGUUGAAAACACGGUGAAACUCGCAUCGCCCGGGCGCAGCAGUCGUAAUACCACUCGACGCCUUCCACACAUUCGCCUGUGUAAUCCCGCAGCCGACCGAACCGAAUUUCGCCUUUAGAGCCCCAAGCCGCGGUGGCUGUGGACGUCCUUCC